rnacentral:tRNA from 1 species
AACAGGAUGGCCGAAAAUAAGCAGUAGAUUGUAACUCUUCCUAUGAAGAAAUUCUCCUGUUG